CGAUGGACAACAGGUUGAUAUUCCUGUACCAGUUGUUUUUGUUUGAGCAAUGGAGGGACGCAGUAGGCUAAGGAAUGCAUGCGAUUGGAAGUGCAUGUCCAAGCAAUGAGUCUUGAGUAGAGUUAAAUGCUUUACUCUUUAAGGACAAGUUGUGACGGGGAGCGAAAUAAUAGUAGCGAAGUUCCUGAUGUCACACUGCCAAGAAAAGCUUCUAGUGAGAAAACAACUGCCCGUACCGUAAACCGACACAGGUAGUCGAGGAGAGUAUCCUAAGGUGAGCGAGCGAACUCUCGUUAAGGAACUCGGCAAAAUGACCCCGUAACUUCGGGAGAAGGGGUGCUGACUUCGGUCAGCCGCAGUGAAUAGGCCCAAGCGACUGUUUAUCAAAAACACAGGUCUCUGCAAAAUCGUAAGAUGAAGUAUAGGGGCUGACGCCUGCCCGGUGCUGGAAGGUUAAGAGGAUGGGUUAGCUUCGGCGAAGCUCAGAAUUGAAGCCCCAGUAAACGGCGGCCGUAACUAUAACGGUCCUAAGGUAGCGAAAUUCCUUGUCGGGUAAGUUCCGACCCGCACGAAAGGCGUAACGAUUUGGGCACUGUCUCAACGAGAGACUCGGUGAAAUUUUAGUACCUGUGAAGAUGCAGGUUACCCGCGACAGGACGGAAAGACCCCAUGGAGCUUUACUGUAGUUUGAUAUUGAGUGUCUGUACCGCAUGUACAGGAUAGGUAGGAGCCGUAGAGAUCGGGACGCCAGUUUCGAUGGAGGCAAUGGUGGGAUACUACCCUUGCGUUAUGGCCACUCUAACCCGCAGCCCUUAUCGGGCUGGGAGACAGUGUCAGAUGGGCAGUUUGACUGGGGCGGUCGCCUCCUAAAAGGUAACGGAGGCGCCCAAAGGUUCCCUCAGAAUGGUUGGAAAUCAUUCGAAGAGUGUAAAGGCAGAAGGGAGCUUGACUGCGAGACCUACAAGUCGAGCAGGGACGAAAGUCGGGCUUAGUGAUCCGGUGGUUCCGCAUGGAAGGGCCAUCGCUCAACGGAUAAAAGCUACCC
rnacentral:rRNA from 1 species